rnacentral:rRNA from 1 species
UACGAGGGGGGCAAAUGUUGUUCGGAAUCACUGGGCGUAAAGGGAGCGUAGGCGGGUUCUUAAGUUAGGUGUUUAAUCCCGGGGCCCAACCCCGGACCGGCACUUAAACUGGAAUCUUGAAUAGUGGAGAGGUCAGUGGAAUUGGGGGUGUAGCGGUGGAAUGCGUAGAGAUCCCCAAGAACACCAGUUGCGAAGGCGGCUGACUGGACACAUAUUGACGCUGAGGCUCGAAAGCAUGGGGAGCAAACAGG